UACGAGGGGUGCAAGCGUUGCUCGGAAUUAUUGGGCGUAAAGGGUAGGUAGGUGGUCUCGUUUGUCUGGGGUGAAAGCCUUGAGCUUAACUCAAGAAGUGCCCCAGAAACGGCGAGACUAGAGUCCUGGAGAGGGUCGUGGAAUUCCCGGUGUAGCGGUGAAAUGCGUAGAGAUCGGGAGGAACACCAGAGGCGAAGGCGGCGACCUGGACAGGUACUGACACUCAACUACGAAAGCGUGGGGAGCAAACAGG
rnacentral:rRNA from 1 species